UGGGGAAUAUUGCACAAUGGGCGCAAGCCUGAUGCAGCAACGCCGCGUGAACGAUGAAGGUCUUCGGAUCGUAAAGUUCUGUUGCAGGGGAAGAUAAUGACGGUACCCUGUGAGGAAGCCCCGGCUAACUACGUGCCAGCAGCCGCGGUAAUACGUAGGGGGCUAGCGUUAUCCGGAUUUACUGGGCGUAAAGGGUGCGUAGGUGGUCUUUCAAGUCGGUGGUUAAAGGCUACUGCUCAACCGUAGUUAGCCUCCGAAACUGGAAGACUUGAGUGCAGGAGAGGAAAGUGGAAUUCCCAGUGUAGCGGUGAAAUGCGUAGAUAUUGGGAGGAACACCAGUAGCGAAGGCGGCUUUCUGGACUGCAACUGACACUGAGGCACGAAAGCGUGGGUAGCAAACAGG
rnacentral:rRNA from 1 species